rfam:Orientia tsutsugamushi str. TT144 ut144.contig.24_1, whole genome shotgun sequence.
AAUCUGGCGUUACUAGAUAAAAAGUUAGAGAUCUAUAGCUAAGAUAGCAGCAUGAAGAGAAAUUGAGAUAUUUGAACCUAUCGACAAACUUAUCGAAGGGAUAAGAGCAAAUUAUCAGGCUGCAGCGAAA